GUCCUCAUCCUCUUCUCCAUCCUCUGCAUCUUCCUCCGCAACCGCAUCGUCGACAUCGUCUACGCCUCCCUCGGGGCGCUGCUCUUCACCUGCGUGAGUGGCAUCGGCCGGGGGGACACCGGGGGAUGUAGGGACAUCAGGGAGGUGUGGGGGCACCGGGGGGAUGUGGGGACAUCGGGGGGAUGUGGGGACAUCAGGGGAAUGUGGGGACUUGGGGGGACAUGGGGACACCAGGAGAUGUGGGGACGUCAGGGGGAUGUGGGGACACCAGGAAGAUACGGAGACAUGGGGACAUCAGGAGGAUGUGGGGACAUCAGGGAGAUGUGAGGACAUGGGGACACCAGGGAGAUGUGGGGAUGUCAGGGGGAUGUGGGGACACCAGGAAGAUAUGGGGACAUGGGGACAUCAGGAUGUGGGGACAUCAGGGGGACGUGGGGACGUGCAGGGAUUUGGGGUCCUGGGGACACCAGGGAGAUAGGGGCAUGUCAGAGGACAUGGGGACACCAAGGGGACACCAUGGGGACACCAAGGGGACACCAGGAGCAAGCAGGGACACUGUGAGGACACAACAGGGACACUGUAGGGACACGAGGGGGACACAGAGACACUACAGGGACGUUAUAGGGACACUAUAG
rnacentral:lncRNA from 1 species